GUGAGCAGCUGACUUCUACCGUGACCUUCUCCCGUGCUAAUUCUGCUUCAGACCCAACAAACUAUGAACUGCAUCUUCUGAAAACGGAAGAUCAAUUAUUCUUGCAUAACAGCUGUGUGAGGAGAAAAGCUUCCAUUCAAGCCUUCCAGUUCUCUAAGCAAUAAUUGUAUCCAUAAACUUCAAAUGCACAUUAUUGGACAAAAGAUUAAACCACUGAAGAAAAUGAAAUAAGUUGUUCGAGUUUUCAAUUGAUUCAGAUGUGUGCCCCAUUGUUUUUAUUUGUGAACCAAAAAUGAUAUUUAAACAUCUUCUGUAAAGAAAACUCUAUGCAUUCAGUCCAAUGUCCUGAGGGGCCAUGGUGUCUACAUCAAAGGAAAAUGUUAAAGAAAGCAUAGUCAAAAAUAAAAC